GCUCCGCUAGCUCAGUGGUAGAGCACCUGCACGACACGCAGGACGUCCGGGGUUCGAUUCCCUGGUGGAGCAC
rnacentral:tRNA from 1 species